UGCUGCAUGGCUGUCGUCAGCUCGUGUCGUGAGAUGUAGGGUUAAGUCCCGCAACGAGCGCAACCCUUGCCAUUAGUUGCUACGAAAGGGCACUCUAAUGGGACUGCCGGUGACAAACCGGAGGAAGGUGGGGAUGACGUCAAGUCCUCAUGGCCCUUAUGGGUAGGGCUUCACACGUCAUACAAUGGUCGGUACAGAGGGUUGCCAAGCCGCGAGGCGGAGCCAAUCCCACAAAGCCGAUCGUAGUCCGGAUUGUUCUCUGCAACUCGAGAGCAUGAAGUCGGAAUCGCUAGUAAUCGCAGGUCAGCAUACUGCGGUGAAUACGUUCCCGGGUCUU
rnacentral:rRNA from 1 species